rnacentral:rRNA from 1 species
UGUGCUGACCUCUCUCUAGAGUCGGAUUGCUUGGGAGUGCAGUCCAAAGUGCGAGGUAAACUCCUCGUAAGGCUAAAUAUAACCCCGAGACCGAUAGCAAACAAGUACAGUGAUGGAAAAUUGAAAAGAACUUUGAAGAGAGAGUUAAGAGUACGUGAAACUGUGUGGUGGUAAACGGAGGCGUUCUCGAAGUGUCCGUGGGGGACUCAAGCUUGGUGGCGGGCAGCCGGUGCUCCUUGAUCAGCAAUGACUGGGUGUGCCGUGCAGGCUUGCCUCCCGGCCGCACUUUCCCCGCGGUUGACGGCAGGAACUGUUGGGACCGGACCAAAGGCCUGGGAUGAAGUUGCUUGCCCUCACGGGCUUGCAGCGCCCGGUGUCCUGGCUUCGGGCCCGACGGGGUAUGAGUGGACUUGUAUAGCAAGCGACAGCCUGUUGCGGUUCACAUCUCUCUGCCGAGUAGGUCGGCGGCGCCUCCGACCCGUCUUGAAACACGGACCAAGGAGUCUAACAUGUAUGCGAGCCAUUGGGUUGACUAAACCUAGCGGCGCAGUGAAAGCAAAGAGUUGCUUGCAGCUCGAGGGACGACGUGCAAACCGCAGUCCCGCGAUUUCCAAUCAACCUCGCAUUGUUGGGAAUACGCAGAGCAUAGAUGUUGGGACCCGAAAGAUGGUGAACUAUGCCUGGCCAGGUUGAAGUCAGGGGAAACCCUGAUGGA